rnacentral:rRNA from 1 species
CUACGGGGGGCUGCAGUGAGGAAUUUUGCGCAAUGGGGGAAACCCUGACGCAGCAACGCCGCGUGAGUGAUGAAGGCCUUCGGGUCGUAAAGCUCUGUCAAGUGGGAAGAAGGUGCCCAUGGCUAAUAUCCGUGGGUAUUGACGGUACCACUGAAGGAAGCACCGGCUAACUCCGUGCCAGCAGCCGCGGUAAUACGUAGGUGGCAAGCGUUGUCCGGAAUUACUGGGCGUAAAGGAUGCGUAGGCGGCUUCUUAAGUGGGAUGUGAAAUGCCGGGGCUUAACCCCGGAUCGGCAUUCCAUACUGGGAGGCUAGAGUGCAGGAGAGGAAAGCGGAAUUCCCAGUGUAGCGGUGAAAUGCGUAGAGAUUGGGAGGAACACCAGUGGCGAAGGCGGCUUUCUGGACUGUAACUGACGCUGAGGCAUGAAAGUGUGGGGAGCAAACAGGAUUAGAUACCCCGGUAGUC